rnacentral:lncRNA from 1 species
CAGGUGAAGAAGUUGUGCAUAUGCUGGUGUCACAAUUGUCUGGAUGUUAUUUUAGUAAAUGUAACUAGAAUGGAUGAGUUACAUUAAACACAUACCUGAAAUUGCAGUUGACAUUCUGGAAAUUUUACAUGAGAAGUUGAGCAAGUUACUCUCCGGUGACGAUACUAAAGCAAUUCAGAAAAUUGUCAUCGCCCUUGGACAAAUCUGUGCAAAGGAAACAUCAUCUUUGCACCUAAAUAGUUCCCUCAAUUUGAUUUUCAGCCUUUGCCGGUCAAAGGUGGGUGGAUAGGAAUGACUGUUGUCUUUUAUUAUGAUCUAAUGUACUAGUUAUUUUUUGAGAUUGCUAAUAACUAGUAAAGCUAAUAAUUAGAAAGGUGGUUCAUUUGGUCAAGAUUACAUUCUUUUAACGUCUACAGUUUUGGCUUUUCACAGGUUGAGGAUAUCCUUUUUGCUGCUGGGGAGGCUCUAUCAUUUCUGUGGGGUGCUGUUCCAGUGACUGCUGAUGUGAUUCUUAAAACCAAUUAUACUUCACUUUCCAUGUCCUCAAAAUUUCUAAUGGGAGAUAUGGACUCAUCAUGGUCAACUUUAAGCUCUGAUUGGAAAUGUGAGGCCAAUGAAGAUUGCCAUGUCAUGAUCAGAGAUACAAUUUCUAAAAAGCUUUUUGAUGAUCUUUUAUACAGUAGUAGAAAAGAAGAGCGUUGUGCUGGGGCUGUUUGGUUACUAUCUCUAACAAUGUAUUGCGGCCAUCAUCCAACCAUCCAGCAAAUGCUUCCAGAAAUUCAGGUUUGCUAUUGGUUCUUUAUAUGUCCAACUUUCAUUUAUUUCACUUAUGGUCAUCGACUGUCUUUGUGAAGUUGACCUACCUGAGUAGCAGUGCAAUUUUAGAGAUGACUUCAAUAACCUUCUUUUCAUUACCUUCUUCUUUCUAACAUAGAUUUUAAUUUUGCUGGUGGAAAUUUUUAAAUCUAAAAGUUCUUCAAGUUUUAUAACUUUUUUGAAAGAUUUUUUUCUACACAGUGUUAAUGUGUUUUGAGUAACAGGUCGUUAUGUAUCCAGAUUAUAGGAGAAUUUCUAGAAUACAUCAGAGAUUCCAUGUUAAGUAUACAACAAAUAAAUGAUAUUAUGCCAUGUGUUUAUUUAUUUUGAAAAACCAAAAUGCAAGCGAUGGUUAUAUUAAAUUCUGCUGUACCGUACAUCCGCCUUGGCCGUACAGCAGUUUUGAAACAUGAUUUAAUUUGAGAACUAUAUUGACAUGAAAUGUAGUCAUAAUAUAUGAAGUAUUUCAUCUUCCGAGCAAAGUUCAAAGUGAAUGUAGGAAAGUUGUCAAUGUCACUGUCAACGGCUAUGAAAGUCUUUUUGUCUGUGGGUACUUGAGAUUCUCAACAAAUUAUUUUGGUUGAAAUCAUGGUGGAGACACUGAUGUUGAAGAAGGAUAUUAUAAACUCUUUGAUACCAUGACCUGAUGAAACUUUCUUUGUUCCUAAAACUUUUUAGUUCACUACUUUCUUGCCGAAAAUUAGGUUUUCUUAUUUUCCUUGAUAAAAUUUGGGUAAAUGUUAAAUCAGAUGGCAAAUGACUUCAGAUUUUCCCGUCAUCUUUGUAGUAGUGAAAUAAGAGCCCAUAUUAAAUUGUGUUCUGUUAUAUGUGAUGAGUACCAGCUAUUUUUGUUAGGCCUUAGUUAAUUUUGUUAGUAAAAGUAAUUUUUUGUAUUUGAUACUCUAAAUGUGCAUUUUAUACUAUUUUUUAACCAUGACAUUGAUUCACAGAUCCCGGAAGCAUUAUUUCAGAGUACACUUAAAUGCCUUGUUGAUGUGGUUAACUCUGAGACUGCAACAUUAUCCUCUGUUGCCAUGCAAGCAUUAGGUCAUAUUGGGCUGUGUGUACCAUUGCCUCCUCUAAUUCAUGCAUCUGAUUCAGGUGAAGAAGUUGUGCAUAUGCUGGUGUCACAAUUGUCUGGAUGUUAUUUUAGUAAAUGUAACUAGAAUGGAUGAGUUACAUUAAACACAUACCUGAAAUUGCAGUUGACAUUCUGGAAAUUUUACAUGAGAAGUUGAGCAAGUUACUCUCCGGUGACGAUACUAAAGCAAUUCAGAAAAUUGUCAUCGCCCUUGGACAAAUCUGUGCAAAGGAAACAUCAUCUUUGCACCUAAAUAGUUCCCUCAAUUUGAUUUUCAGCCUUUGCC